UGUCUUUAUAUUUUUCAUGCUUAAUUUGACUAGUGCAUGAGAAAUAUUAAAUAGCCAGAUGGGAAUCUCUCAAAUUACUUUCCAUCUUGAGUUUGUUAAGCGGUUGGCUGUCAUUUUAAAUUAUCUGCCCUUCACCAACAACUGAGAAACAUAUAUAGUAUCUCUGUGAUUCAAUUUGUCUCUUUUUUUUUCUUUUAAUAUGUGA
rnacentral:misc_RNA from 1 species